rnacentral:rRNA from 1 species
AUUGAACGCUGGCGGCAGGCUUAACACAUGCAAGUCGAACGAGUGGCGGACGGGUGAGUAAUGCUUGGGAAUCUAGCUUAUGGAGGGGGAUAACUACGGGAAACUGUAGCUAAUACCGCGUACCAUAGGAUGAGCCCAAGUGGGAUUAGGUAGUGGGUGAGGAAACGGCUCACCUGGGCGACGAUCCCUAGCUGGUCUGAGAGGAUGAUCGGCCAAAUUGGGACUGAGACACGGCCCAGAUUCCUACGGAAGUCAGCAGGGGGGAAUAUGGGACAAUGGGCGAAAGCCUGAGGCAGCAAUGCGGCGGGUAGAAAGAAGGCUUCGGGGUGGUAAAGUACGUUCAGUCGGGAGGCGGUACCGAAAGAAGAAGCACCGGCUAACUCCGUGCCAGCAGCCGCGGUAAUAC